AGGUUGCCUCAGCGUCAAUCAACCCUUCGUGAGAUGCCUUCGCAAUCGGUGUUCUGUGUAAUCUCUAAGCAUUUCACCGCUACACUACACAUUCCUCCCACGGCAGAGUCAUUCCAGUCCACCAGUUCGGGAGGCACUUCCGACGUUGAGCGCCGGCAUUUCACUCCCGCUUAGCAAACCGCCUACGCGACCCUUUAAACCCAAUAAAUCCCGAUAAGGCUUGCAUUCUCCGUAUAACGGGGCUGGCUGCCACGAAUUAACCCAUGCUUAUUCCGAAGGUAUCUUAUUUAACCCACCGUGAAUCCAAUUGGUCCCCCGCAAAAACGGGUUUAAAACCCCAAGGGGCUUCCUCCCCCCCCCCGGUUUGGUUGGAUAACCUUUCCGGGCCUGGUCCAAAAUAUUCCCCCGGGGGCCCCCCCCAAAAAUUUUGGACCCGUUUUCUAUUUCCCAGUUGGGGGAACCUCUUCCUUAAAACACCUUACAUCUCUUUGGAGGGGGUGGCGGUUUACCCCCGCCGUUUUCUUUUUGGGGGGCCGAACACCC
rnacentral:rRNA from 1 species